rnacentral:rRNA from 1 species
UACGAAGGGGGCUAGCGUUGUUCGGAAUCACUGGGCGUAAAGGGCGCGUAGGCGGCUUGAUAAGUCGGGGGUGAAAGCCUGUGGCUCAACCACAGAAUUGCCUUCGAUACUGUCGAGCUUGAGACCGGAAGAGGUAAGUGGAACUGCGAGUGUAGAGGUGAAAUUCGUAGAUAUUCGCAAGAACACCAGUGGCGAAGGCGGCUUACUGGUCCGGUUCUGACGCUGAGGCGCGAAAGCGUGGGAGCAAACAGG